GACGAACGCUGGCGGCGUGCCUAAUACAUGCAAGUAGAACGCUGAAGCGAGGAGCUUACUCUUCUUGGAUGAGUUGCGAACGGGUGAGUAACGCGUAGGUAACCUGCCUUGUAGCGGGGGAUAACUAUUGGAAACGAUAGCUAAUACCGCAUAACAAUGGAUGACACAUGUCAUUUAUUUGAAAGGGGCAAUUGCUCCACUACAAGAUGGACCUGCGUUGUAUUAGCUAGUAGGUGAGGUAAUGGCUCACCUAGGCGACGAUACAUAGCCGACCUGAGAGGGUGAGCGGCCACACUGGGACUGAGACACGGCCCAGACUCCUACGGGAGGCAGCAGUAGGGAAUCUUCGGCAAUGGGGGCAACCCUGACCGAGCAACGCCGCGUGAGUGAAGAUGGUUGUCGGAUCGUAAAGCUCUGUUGUAAGUCAAGAACGGGUGUGAGAGUGGAAAGUUCACACUGUGACGGUAGCUUACCAGAAAGGGACGGCUAACUACGUG
rnacentral:rRNA from 1 species